GGAAGGAUCAUUAACACUUUGUUAACCCAAUAUCAACCAAAUGUGAACUGUAGCGUCCCUAUUCAUUGUUAUAAUCAGACUUCGGUUUAAUUAUAGCAAUGCGAUAGACAAUACCAUCUUAGUAGUUAUCACAAACUAAGGCCCCAAUACUUUAGUUUCGUGAUGAUGAACUAUUAACCAACUUUAACCCUAUAACAUACAAAUUGUCUAAUCUUCAUAAACUUAAUGACUGCUUCGGUGGUUAAUAAGAUUUACGAAAUAUUGAACAACUCUUAGCAAUGGAUAUCUUGGGUCAUGUAACGAUGAAGAACGCAGCGAAAUGCGAUAUGUAAUGCGAAUUGCAGAAUUCAGUGAAUCAUCAAAUCUUUGAACGCAAAUUGCGCUCUCGGGUAUGCCUGGGAGCACGCCUCUUUGAGUAUCGGUUCUAUCAAACCUCAACAGCUUAUUUAUAAGUGUAGUUGGAUACUGAGUGUUUCCUUGCCUUCGGGUAGCGAAUCACUUUAAACGAUAGAAAAACUAGGCUUGAGAACUCUUUCAGCACUGUAGUCUGAACCUUCGGGUUUGAGCUAACUAGUUUACACCUUGUCGGCUUCAAUUUGGAAACGCUGAUGACGUAGAUAAUUGCCUUGUGCAAAUUCAACGUGAUCAGUUAGUAUAUCUUGAGGCCUGUGGAAAUGAAAAGGCUGAGAUGAUGUUCCGUCUACUCACCAGAAGAGCUUCACAGCUUCUUUUGGCAUGUCUAACUCCGGUUAGAUGUGUAUGAACUCCGAAUUAGAUCUCAGAUGAAGCGAGAUUACCCCCUGAAUUUAAGCAUAUUAAUAAGGGGAGGAAAGGAAAAUAACAAUGAUUCCCCUAGUAACGGCGAGUGAAGCGGGAAGAGCUCAAAUUGAAAAUCGGCUACCCAAGCGGGUUGCCGAAUUGUAGCCUAGAGACAUGUUGUCAGUGUGUGACCCAGGUAUAAGUCUUUUGAAACAAGGCAUCACAGAGGGUGAGAAUCCCGUCUUUGAUCUGGAGUUCGCCACGUACGACGCGUGUUCAUCGAGUCGAGUUGUUUGGGAUUGCAGCUCUAAAUGGCGGGUAAAUUUCCGCUAAAGCUAAAUAUUGACAUGACACCGAUAGCGAACAAGUACCGUGAGGGAAAGAUGAAAAGAACUUUGAAAAGAGAGUUAAAAAGUACUUGAAAUUGUUAAGAGGGAAGCGCUGGAAACCAGUCUAUAUGCGACUAUUUUGGUGUUGAUUACAGGGUCUGGGGUGUGUGCAGUGGUCAAACCUGCAUGUGUUACAGAUUUUGUGGUUGGCGCUUUCAGUUGUCGCAUUCGAGUCAGAAUCAAUUCGGUUCGUGUGAGAAGGUUAUGCGGAAGGUAGGGUAAGCAAUUACCUGAAGCCGUGUAGCUCUAACAUGGACUGGAUUGAGGAAGUAAUAACAUGCCUGCUGGCUUCGUCUAGUAGCUCCUGCUGGCUGAGUGAGGUUAGGAUAGCAAUGCUAUACGAUUUCACUUGGUAGGUACUGGGUUAUUAGAUGCGAUGUGUUAUCGCGAUUCUGACGAAAUGGUUUUUCAUCGACCCCGUCUUGAAACACGGACCAAGGAGUCUAACAUCUAUGCGAGUAUUUGGGUGGAAAACCCUGAUGCGUAAUGAAAGUAAAGGAAGCUUCGGCUUCUGAGGUAGGAAACCGGCAACGGUGGCACUAUCGACCGAUCAUCACUUGUGAAAGAUUUGAGUAAGAGCAUAUCUGUUGGGACCCGAAAGAUGGUGAUCUAUGCCUGAACAGGGUGAAGCCAGGAGAAAUUCUGGUGGAGGCUCGUAGCGAUACUGACGUGCAAAUCGUUCGUCUGAUUUGGGUAUAGGGGCGAAAGACUAAUCGAACCAUUAACAAGACUAUUAGGUGGUUAAGAGUUAUUGCUCAUACGGGCAAUGGCUAGUUUGUAUACUGACGUGCUUAUAAAUUUUCACGCGUAUAUAAGCAAGAGCAUCGAAUUGCUGGGACCGCUCGUUAAAGCAUUGAUUAAUAUCAAUAGCCAGAGCCAAUCGGCAGCUAAGUAUUCUUAAUGGAGUAUGAAGUUCACAGACCAAGUGUUACUCGGAUAGUAUUCUAUACUAUCUUAAGAUAUGGUCGAAUUCAUUAUGUUUCAAUAAUGAUAGCAAUGCUAGUAGCUGGUUCCCUC
rnacentral:misc_RNA from 1 species